rnacentral:rRNA from 1 species
GACAGCUGAAUGAUAGUCGGGCUGAAGACUCUACUUGACUAGCUGAGAGGAGGUGCAUGGCCGUCGUCAGUUCGUACUGUGAAGCAUCCUGUUAAGUCAGGCAACGAGCGAGACCCACGCCAACAGUUGCCAGCUCGUCCUCCGGGAUGGUGGGGACACUGUUGGGACCGCCUCUGCUAAAGAGGAGGAAGGAAUGGGCAACGGUAGGUCAGCAUGCCCCGAAUUAUCUGGGCUACACGCGGGCUACAAUGGGUGGGACAAUGGGUAUCGACACCGAAAGGUGAAGGCAAUCUCCUAAACCCAUCCGUAGUUCGGAUUGUGGGCUGCAACUCGCCCACAUGAAGCUGGAAUCUGUAGUAAUCGUGUCUCAAAAUGGCACGGUGAAUAUGUCCCUGCUCCUU